rnacentral:lncRNA from 1 species
AAAAAUGAUUUAUUUUUUCUCCGUUGGAUUUUUCACAAAUGCGUAGCAAUUUUGAAGUUAAAAAUUUAAUUUAAUUUCAAAAAUUGAUUACACACAUAGAGUAUUGUUGACCAGCCUCAGGUAGGAUGAUUCCUACAUGAAUCAUCUUACGAUUGCUUAACACAACGCUAAUUAUGUAGUUCAAUUUCUUGAUUUUUACUUCGAGUCCCUUGGCUUUCUCUUGGGCCUUCUUAC